UUAACUGAGCAGCCAGCCAGUCAUAGCCCCCGCAUUCCAGUCCAAACUUAUUUUAAAGGUCAGAGCUGUCAAUCAGAACUCUGAAGUAAUGGUUGAUACUGGGCAUAUGUGAAUGAGGUAAUUGCUUCUAAAAAUAGAAAGGUGUAGUAGAAGAGAGCUUCAAUGUAGCAUAGAAGGCCAGCUGCCAGCAGACAGUUUUGGAGUCUGAGCCUGAGUCACCAAAAGAGAGAGAAAGAUGACUGGGAGAAGAUGAAAGCCAACAAGAGGAGACAAUGAAAAGCUGCUGCAAAGAAGUCAGAAACAUUACUACAGAGAGAGAGAGAAGGAAACGGGAGUGGAGCAAAGCAGACUGACCAGGAACUUAAAAACAGCAACAGUGACUAGAAAAAAAAUACUGAAGAAUUUAUAAAGCAAUAUCAAUGGAUUUAUAAAGAUUGGCUACAAGCAUUGUCUUUGGUGUGAGAUCUAAGGUACAAAUUGACCUGGGGUCUCCAGGUGCUAGAGGGUGAAACCACGACUAACUCAUCACUACUUGAGCAAGUCUGACAUUCCCUUCGCUGGAGGAUGGCACAUAUACAAAACACACUACAUCUCAAUUUUUAAGGCCUGAGCCUGCCAGGUGCCAAGCACUACCUGAGGGCACCAUUGACAUGAGUAGCAGCAGAGGGCACUCAGCACCUUGCAACAUCAAAACCCUCAUACAGUGCUCCAUUAGUGAAGUAAUUAUAAAAGCACAAAAAUACAAGCCCAGUAGAUUAACCUAAAGCACCACACGCUUUGAAGUGUUGUUCCAAGUGCCAGUGAAUUUUCUGAAUUUUCCCAGUGCAGAGAAUCAUACUCACAGCAACACCUGUACAUCAGACAAGGAUGCAGCCAAAUACCUAUGGGUCGACUGCAAGCCACAUUUCCAGAUAUAUAUGAAUGAAUCACUUUAGAUAGACUUGUUAUUGCUCUCUGUCUCUCUCUCCCCCUCUCCUGAACUUGUUCUCUCUGGUAGGGGCCAUAUACUUUGAAUCUCCUAUGUGCUGCACCACUUCCCAUUUCUUCUUCACAUCUGGCUUAGUAUUACAUAAAGUAUGAAUUAAUGUGACUCACAGUGCUAGCCCAUUGUGUUUUGUGGUGUAAAGAAACAUACACUAUUUUCCUCUCCUCAGUGGGAAGUAAAUGCUGCAAGCACAAAUGCUGUAGAUAUCCGUAGGUGCCUUGGGUGCAUUUUUCUCUUUUCUGUUGCGGUUGUUGUUAUUACCCUCUUAUCUCCACAGAAGAUAUUAUCAAGUUUCCUUUUUCAGGAACAAUUACAGUUGAACUGCAAAUAUUUGAGCCUGGUUAUGUGUAAAAAGGUAACAAAUGACUAUUCAUGGGAGGCAGGUGAUUCACUUCUUCAUGUGCUUAACUUUCAGAUUUUUGGUGUGUGUGUGUAAAUGUAUAUAUAUAAUAUUUAAAUUCUGUGUAUUGUUAUCACAAAUUUAAAGUAUAAAAUUGCAGCAUGACAA